GACGAACGCUGGCGGCGUGCUUAACACAUGCAAGUCGAACGGAAAGGCUCCAGCUUGCUGGAGUACUCGAGUGGCGAACGGGUGAGUAACACGUGGGUAAUCUGCCCUGCACUCUGGGAUAAGCCUGGGAAACUGGGUCUAAUACUGGAUAUGACCUUUCUCCUUAUGGGGUUUGGUGGAAAGUUUUUCGGUGUAGGAUGAGCCCGCGGCCUAUCAGCUUGUUGGUGGGGUGAUGGCCUACCAAGGCGACGACGGGUAGCCGGCCUGAGGGGGUGAUCGGCCACAUUGGGACUGAGAUACGGCCCAGACUCCUACGGGAGGCAGCAGUGGGGAAUAUUGCACAAUGGGCGGAAGCCUGAUGCAGCGACGCCGCGUGAGGGAUGACGGCAUUCGGGUUGUAAACCUCUUUCAGCAGGGACGAAGCGUAAGUGACGGUACCUGAAGAAGAAGCACCGGCUAACUAUGUG
rnacentral:rRNA from 1 species